CCUACGGGGGGCUGCAGUGGGGAAUAUUGGACAAUGGGGGCAACCCUGAUCCAGCCAUGCCGCGUGUGUGAAGAAGGCCCUCGGGUUGUAAAGCACUUUCAGUGAGGAAGAACGCUUGGUGGUUAAUACCCAUCAGGAAAGACAUCACUCACAGAAGAAGCACCGGCUAACUUCGUGCCAGCAGCCGCGGUAAUACGGAGGGUGCGAGCGUUAAUCGGAAUUACUGGGCGUAAAGCGCGCGUAGGUGGCUUGAUAAGCCGGUUGUGAAAGCCCCGGGCUCAACCUGGGAACGGCAUCCGGAACUGUCAAGCUAGAGUGCAGGAGAGGAAGGUAGAAUUCCAGGUGUAGCGGUGAAAUGCGUAGAGAUCGGGAGGAAUACCAGUGGCGAAGGCGGCCUUCUGGACUGACACUGACACUGAGGUGCGAAAGCGUGGGUAGCAAACAGGAUUAGAUACCCUAGUAGUC
rnacentral:rRNA from 1 species